GGCAGCAGUGGGGAAUCUUGCAAAUGAACGAGAGUCUGAUGGAGCAAUGCCGCGUGAGUGGAGAAGGUUCUCGGAUCGUAAAACUCUUUUGCCGGGGAAGAUAAUGUCGGAAACCGACUGCUCGGCCCCUGACGGCUCCUUGCCAGAAAGCCACGGCUAACUACGGGGGCUAGCCCGCGGCAAUUUUACUGUGGGUAGCGCUGACCGGAGUUAUUGUUUGAAUAGCGCGCGAAAUCCCGGCUUUCAACCUGAUGUCUGACUUUGAUACUGGAAGUCUUAGGGUCAUUGGAAACUGGGGGAAUUGCGAACGUAAAAGGAAAAUUCAAUUCCAUUCGUAGGAACGAAAUGGGCGAGAUUUCUCACUGGACCAUUACUGACGCUGCUUUCUGGUCUGUGCUGACCCUGAGGAUUAAAAGCCCUGGGAGCAAAUAGGAUUAAAUACCCUGGUAGUCCACGCCGGGAACGACUCUGCUAAGGGGCAGGGGGUUUCCGCCCCUUUCCGCCUGGGCAGUACCGUCAAGCGAUUCGCCCGGGGAGUACGUGACGGAAGCUGAAAUGAUCUGAAUUGACC
rnacentral:rRNA from 1 species